CAGCUCCUUGUUCAGAUCUGUGUCCAAAUGAUUUCCUGUACUUGCAGGGGACAGGUGGGGUUUCAGAAG
ensembl:misc_RNA